rnacentral:tRNA from 1 species
GCCUUGGUAGCUCAGUGGAUAGAGCACCCGUCUUCUAAACGGUCGGUCGCUGGUUCGAACCCAGCCCAAGGCG